UCUUAUGGAUAAACAAAGAAAGUGGUUCUUGAGAUGGAAACUACUCCUGGUGAAGAUGCUGUGAA
rnacentral:pre_miRNA from 1 species